rnacentral:lncRNA from 1 species
AUGAGAUGCCCUGGUGAAGAGGUGUUUGCCCAGGUGCGGCGCACCCAGGCAAGCGAGCAGUCCACCCAGGUGGGCUCCUUUGUGUGGAGUCACCUGAUGCAGCUGCUGGAAACUGAUGACCCUCUGAAGCGAGCUCUCCAGGAGGCCCUCCCUGAGGACAUCCUGAGCCAGGAGUUCCAGCCAGAGACCUGGAAACACUCAUCCUAUUCUGAUGUCACCUUCCGCUCAGCUUGGCCUCCGCCUGGAAAAUGCAGAGAAAAUCAUCCACAGGCUGUUGGGCGGGAAGUCAUUGUGGGGGCAGGAAGAGGAGAGAGAGGGCCAGCCGGAGAAGUCCUCAGAGCCAGACCCAGGGCCCUCAGCACAGGCAGCCAAACCUGACUGUCCAGAAGAAAGGUCCAGAAAGAUGAGAGACCUGCAGCAGAAGGUAAGGCGGGGGUUGGGGGGAGGUACCUGCACCCACCCUGCUCCCACCCUUCACCAGCCCGAGCUUUUGGCCUGCGAACUCAGGUGUCAAUGAAUUCUGACCCUGCCCUCCCUCCCCAGACACAAGUACUGGUCCAGAGCCGAGUAGUCAGCUGUUAGCCUGCCUUAUCGUGAAAAAGUCUUGAUCAAAGCAUCACCUACAAUUAGAAAAUCAUGCAAGCCCUAAGCGUGUUUCCACCACCAGAACGCAUUCUUAGAAUCAGUGCCCAGAGCAUUAUCGGCACCCCAGAGGCCCCCUGUCCUCCCCCUUCUGGUCUACCCACCCUAACCAAGGGUGAUCAUGAAUCGGCCUCCUAACUGCCCUGGUUAGUUCUACUUUUUAAAAAAUCAGCUCUGUCCCAGGUCUAGUAAUGAGUAGCAUGUGUUUAAUUACACAAUUUGAUAAGUUUUGACCUAUAAGUGCACAUUCCUAGUGACGUGCAACCAUCACUUCUAUCUAGUUCCCAAACAUUGUCAUGGCCCCAAGGGAGACCCCAUCCCCAGUAACAGUCACUCCCCAUCCCGUCUUCCCCCGGCCCAUGGCAACCACUGAUCUGCUUUGGGUCUCUAUGGAUUUUCCUGUCCUGGACAUUUCACAGACACGGAAUCAGACACAUGUGACCUAUGGUGUCUGGCUUCUCUCACUGAGCCUCCUGUUUGGGGACUCGCUGGUGUAGCACAGAUCAGUGCUGUAUCCCUCUUGAAGGCUGGAUAGGUUACACUGUGUUCAUCCAUCCACCUGCUGGGGGACAUUCUGUUGCAAAUUGUUGCCACCCUUUAGCGAGUGUGAAUAAUGCUGCUUGUGACAUUGUGUGUGUGUGUGUGUGUGUGUGUGUGUGUGUCUAGCUUCUCUCUUGCUUGAAUGAGAUCCAUCCACAUGGUUCUAUAUUUUCACACUUUGCUCAUGCUCCUUGCUGUGUAGCGUUCCAUGAUCUGAACCUGCUAGAAUGUCCUUAUCCAUCCUACUUUUGGUAGACUUUUGGAUAGUUUCCUGUUUCUAACUUAUCGCCCAUAGCGCUACCAACAUUCUUGCACGUGUCUUUCUGGUGAAUGCACGUGCGCCUUUCUGCUGGGCACAUACCCAGGAAUAGAGUUGAUGGGCUGUGGGAUCCUUUAAUACCCAUUCUGUGGGUGGGGAAUUAUAUUUUAUGUGACUUUUCUCCCAUGGAUGGACAUGACACCAAGAUUGCUGGCACCUUUUUACUCUCUCUCUCUCAAUAAAUAAAUAAAAUCUUAAUCUACAUCCUUUUUGUUAUUUUCACACUUGGGAUGGAGACUCAUAUUGCAAGAUCUAUUUAGCGGAAGCACAGUGAUAGUGGCAACAGUACUUGGCCUCAGUGUUGGGGAGCCGAUAGGGAGUGGUGGAGGCUGUGGCAGGUGGGAAAAACGCAUGAUUUAGUUAGAAGUGGUGGCCACCGUUCAGCUCUGGUUUCUUAUUGGCCCUUGUGGUGGUGAUGUGGGGUGGGCGGGGGGAGGCCAAUACUUCUCUUUUUCAAGAAGCCAGAGGACUCGGAUUUCAUAUGUAGUCUCCUAAUUUUUAUUUAUUUAUUUUUUAAAAAAGAUUUUAUUUAUUUAUCCAUGAGAGACACACACACACAGAGAGAGAGAGGUAGAGAGACACAGGCAGAGGGAGAAGCAGGUUCUAUGCAGGGAGCCCGACGUGUGACUCGAUCCCGGGUCUCUAGGGUCAUACCUGGGCUGAAAGCGGUGCUAAACCGCUGAGCCACCCAGGCUGCCCCAGUCUCCUAAUUUUUUUUUUUUAUUGGUGUUCAAUUUACUAACAUACAGAAUAACCCCCAGUGCCCAUCACCCAUUCACUCUCCUAAUUUUUAAAUAUUGGAAACAAAUCCAAUUUUUAAAAAAUAUGCACCGUGAAAAAUCUGAAGAUAGACAAAUGGUCACAGACUGAGGAGACAGGAGAGAUGGGGCAAGCUCAUGGCAUGUGCUGCCUGAAUUGGGUCCUGGAACCUGAGGGAGACCCGGAAUGGAAACACCGGUGAAAUCUGAAUGUCUGCAGUUUUGUAUGUCCGUGUUGGCUUCUCCGCCUUGCCCGCGCCCUGGCCGUGGAAGUCGCCACCGGUGGAGACAGCGUGAGGGAUGUGGGGGAGCUCUCUGUACCAUCUUUGCAACUUUUCUGUAAAUCUAAGAUUAUUCUAAAAUAAAAAGAUCUUGAGAACACUCACCCCCCCGACACGCUGCCCUGGGCAUUGGGUAGUAGCGCGGGUCAGGGAAGACACAUCUGUGGUUUUGCUUGCAGGCCACGAGUUUUGCAAGUCACAUUCCGGAUGCUGAAAGCCCUUGUCCUUGCCCUUCUGGUCCCCCUGGUCCCCCACCUGUGUCCAGGCACUAGACCUGCUCCUGUCACCAGCCUGGUCCCCCCCUCAGGUGGCCCGGAGGCGCGCGGAGCGGCGGGCGCUGCGGUGUGAGCUGAGUGUGAAGGUGUUCGGGCACGAGCUGAGCUAUGUGAACUGCGGGGUGAUGGGGAGCCACGUGAAACGCCAGUCCUUGCACCUGGCCGAGCUGGCAGCCAAACUCCUGAAGGUACCUCCGGCUGGGCUCAGCCCCAGCCCGCUCUGCCGGCCCUGUGGGGUUUCCUUCAAUGUUUUGGGGGGAAAGUACUAAGGUACUUUCCAGACUUAUGACCGUGGUAUUUCGGGCCAGGCUGCCCAAGUUCAAAUCAUGGCCCCGCCUCUCACCUGCGGGGGAGCCAAUGCUUGUCAUGGCCUCGGUUUGUGCAUCUGUGAAAUGGGCACCAUAGCAUGACAAUAGUGAUAGUAACAAAAGCAGCAGCUACUUUAUGGGGCGGUUGUUCUAAAUGACCUAAUGCAGUAAAAAAAAAAAAAAAAAGAAAAGAAAAAGAAAAAAAAAAGAAAAAAGAAAAGAAAAAUGCAACCAAAUGUUUAGAAUGCACCUGGCAUGUGCUAAGUGCUCUGCAUCGUGCUCAGGGCUCACAUUCCUCCUUACCUGACUCACCCUGGAUCCCGGACCACUGACCCUUUUCCAUAGUAAACUAACUGGACUUGAACUCAGCUCCACCUGUUUCUACCUAUGUAGGUUUGGCCAGGUGAUCUCAUCUGUUUGUGGGCUCAGUU